AUGCCUGCAAUUAGAGGAGAGGAAGCUGGUAGUUUUAUCUAUAUUAUUCAAGAAUAAUAAUCAAAUAACUUGAUGGUGAUGACUGUACUUGUGAGGCUCAGACACUAAAUAUAUUAUAUAUAAGAUGUUUUACUGUAAAUUUACAGAGGGAAGCUGAUGCACAGGCAUUGUGUCAAUGCCGCUGUUUUCUUCAUUUGCCUAUUAUCUCUUGUUAUAUACCAGACAGCGUCUGUGCAGCCCACCAGCUUCUAGCCCAGUGGUCGUGGAUUCGUUCCAGCUGCCCUCCUCUCCGGAUUAUUGGUGGAAGACUGGUACCGUGACAGGAACCAAUAAGACAGAGACACUGCAGGGCAUGUAGAGGUUCCUACCUGAGUGAAUUCCUGUGAUGAAGCGACCGAGCAUGAUCAUCUCAGCCUGCUUCACAGGACUGGAUGACUACAGACCCCCUCUUGGACCCCCUGCAGUUUGCCUACAGAACCAACAGAUCGGGGGACGAUGCUGUAAAUAUGGCCCUCAACUUCAUCCUCCUUCAUGUUGUGGGAUUAGUGUGUUUGACAGUGGAAGUUGGUGGAUUUCAGUGGAUGACAUGAGAAAACAAGGCGCCACAAGCAGAAGAUCGGACACACCAAUCACACACACUCUUCACCCUCCUGCCAUCUAGAAAAAGGUGCCGGAGCAUUUGGGCACUCACAUCCAGACUGUGGAACAGCUUCUUUCGACAAGCCAUCGUCUCCUCAAUGAAAAGGGACUGGACUGACAAACAUACACACGCAUGCACGCACACAUAUAUGUGGGGACUACAUCAUCACAACAAAAGUAUUAAAACGUGUCACUUUUUUUGUUGUCAUUCUGUAGCUCGUCUGUACAUUUGCACGGGCACUUUAUGUUGUCUCUUGUCUCCUUUUUGACCUUCUGUAUAGUAAUGUAAAUGUUCUAAAUCUAUGUUGUAAUUUAUGUUGCAUGUGCAUAGCACCUUCAUCCUGGAGGAACAUUGUUUCAUUUCACUGUACUGAACUGAAAAUAAAGGCUUGACUUGACUUGACCUCUAUCCGUAGUCUUUCUAUGAAAAAAAAACAGCUGUUUUGGAGUAUUUGUCAGUAAAGUAUUAAGGUUUUCGGGGAGUGUUAUGGGAAAAGUCGUUUCUUCCUUAUCAUUAUAUGAUUUAUGACUUACUGUAUGCCCUGCAAUUAAUAUCUCAUGUUUUGUCUUACUUCUGUUUUAGGUAUUUGACAUUUCACCUAGACUGUUCAAUGCUUGUCUCUGCCUGACAGACUCUGGACUCUAGCUCCCAAACCCAAGGCCGGGGAGUUGUGUCUCUCUGUCUAUUGAGACUUAGGGCUCUUUCCUCUCUAAUAGUCAGACGCCAGUGAUGCAGGUGUGAGAAUGUAAACAUCUCCACACACGGCGACAGGGAUGAGAUGGUGCAUCAGUCUGAUUGGGCUACACUGACGUUUCACCGUAGUCGGACAGAGUGGUUAAAAGGUAGAAGCAACCUGAGGGUCGUGGGCUCUUUGCAUCACACCUUCGUGGUGUGUGCACUGAUCUUCAAGCUGUUUUUUGGUUUGUUGUUGUGCACGAUCAACAUCCAUGCUUUUGAUUUGUUUCCCUAUUAUUUUUCAUUUUCCUUUAUUUUUAUAAUAAAUCUCACAAAAGACAA